GGGUGUAUAGCUCAGUGGCAGAGUGUGCCACUUAAAAUGCACAAGGUCCUGGGUUCAAUUCCCAGGACCUCCA
rnacentral:tRNA from 1 species